rnacentral:rRNA from 1 species
AACGAACGCUGGCGGCAGGCCUAACACAUGCAAGUCGAGCGAGCAUUUCGGUGCUAGCGGCGGACGGGUGAGUAACGCGUGGGAACGUGCCCUUUUCUGCGGAAUAGUCCUGGGAAACUGGGGGUAAUACCGCAUACGCCCUUUUGGGGAAAGAUUUAUCGGAGAAGGAUCGGCCCGCGUUGGAUUAGGUAGUUGGUGGGGUAAUGGCCCACCAAGCCGACGAUCCAUAGCUGGUUUGAGAGGAUGAUCAGCCACACUGGGACUGAGACACGGCCCAGACUCCUACGGGAGGCAGCAGUGGGGAAUCUUAGACAAUGGGGGCAACCCUGAUCUAGCCAUGCCGCGUGAGUGAUGAAGGCCUUAGGGUUGUAAAGCUCUUUCAGCUGGGAAGAUAAUGACGGUACCAGCAGAAGAAGCCCCGGCUAACUCCG